rnacentral:lncRNA from 1 species
GGCCGCAUUAUAGUAUUAAACCUGUCGAAUAACAAGGUACACAAAUACGCAAUGAGAAAGUUUAGUUUUAUAUUUGAAUAUUAAUGUUUAAGGUGUGUUUUUUAUGUAGCAGGGAUUGUGAUGACGUUACUAAACGACGUAAGGCCUGGGUUAAUACAAAUACUUAAAAUAGACAAUUUAAAAAAAAAGAAUAGAGAACAGUGACUUACUAUAAAGAAUUACAAAAAUUGUACACACAUUUAGAAUUCAAAAAUAUCGGCUACAAAAGAAAUACAGACAUACACACUAUCAAGAAAAACGUAUUGCUAGGGAUAUAUAAAUUAUAUUCCCCACUGUCUGAUAUUGGUUGUUUUUCGUCUUCGUCGUCUAAUUUCUUCGUUAUUUAAGAGAUGUUUCAUUUAACGUAAAUUAAGUAUUGGAUCACACACGCCCUUAUUGGUGUUAUUUGUAACUCAUACGACCAUGCGACCGCAUAAUUAAACAUUUGUGCGGUUUGCUGUACCAUCAACGCCUCAUGCUCAUAAUGUAAUUAGAAGUAAUCCAUUGUCCAAAUGUGCAUAAAAACUGUGUGUUUUUAUACCAAAUACGAAUGAAGGUUUACAUAGUAAAUAUAUCUUGGAUGAACUACAUUAACAGAAAGAAUGUUAUUGAUAGAAGCAGAAUAAACCGGUUUGGUAUAUAAAACCAAUACAUGCGAAUACUGAAUUGAAUACUUAGAAGUAACAGAUUAAAGCAAGGGAUCGACUAUCACGGAAUUUGCAAUUACGGUAAACACACAAGAAUAUCUUUUCACGUAACUCGACAAACGGGAAUUAAACCACACACAUCUUUCAGCCCAGAAAUUAGUUAUAUUCUCCGUAGCAGAGAUUAAUUGGACAUUUGACGCGGCGUUUGAAGUGAGUCUACCAUGUUUAAUGUUUGGUAAUAAAAGGAAAGUUGACACUGGCCGAGGAAAGUUGAAACUGGCAGAGGAUAGUUGACACCGGCCGAGAAAAGUUGGAUACAAGUUGCAGAAUACACAUAGGAUACCACGACGGUUUGACUAAACAAAAAAACCAAACACGGAAUAAAGUCAUAAUAAUGGCGCAAUGAAGUCAAAUGCCAAAAGGAACCAGCAGAUUGACAAAAGAAGUAUACAUGUAUAAUCAAACUAUUAAAGAACUACUCGAGUGCGACAGGUUUCUUAGCAUGCUACUUUCUAAAUCGAAUGCAGCAGGUUAUACUUACAGUUCAGUCAAAUUUAAGUUUUCUGGCUUACUUUGAUUUCGCCAUUGCAACGUCCGGAUUUAAGUAGAUGAUUGCCACUGACAUCACAUGGGAAACAAUCAUUGACAAAUGAAACAGAAGAAAAACUUUUGCCUUAAUGUCAUCAAAGCGGGUUAUUUAAAAGUAUGAAUUAUCAUGUGACCGUGACGGCAUCAAAGUUUUUAUUUCAUGAUUUACUUCUAAAAAUGAAAAACAAAUUAUAAGAAAUGAUUGUUAUAUGUUUUCUGUCUAUUCGGAAUAAACUCAAAAAUGUGGUACAUACUUUUAAAUAACCCGCUUUGAAAGCAAAAGGUGUAACAAAUUUUGAAUUUUGAAUUUACCUCUGUGGAUAAUUCUGACAAUGUAUUUCAAAACUGAAUCUGACUUAAUCUGAGCGUCACUGAUGAGUCUUAUUUUGUAGACGAAACGCGCAUCUGGCAUGUACCAUUUCUUCUGAUUGACUGAAAAUUUUUCUGUAUUGUUUAUUCUUGGUUCAGAACUUUUAAGUGUCAUAAGUAGUUGACAUCUACCGGUAAAUAACAACAGCAGACUGAAUUGUCUACAAUGCUACUAAAUAGUACAAGAUUAAUUGUAAGUGACUAUUACUGAAUUUUAAACAAGAAAAUAUUUAAACAAUGACUACAAGAUUUAUCA